AUUGAACGCUGGCGGCGUGCUUAACACAUGCAAGUCGAGCGGUAACAGGCGUAGCAAUACGUGCUGACGAGCGGCGAACGGGUGCGUAAUACAUCGGAAUCUGCCUAGUAGUGGGGAAUAACCCGGCGAAAGCCGGGCUAAUGCCGCAUACGAUCCACGGAUGAAAGCGGGGGACUUUCGGGCCUCGCGCUAUUAGAUGAGCCGAUGCCGGAUUAGCUAGUUGGNGAGGUAACGGGCUCACCAAAGGCGACGAUCCGUAGCUGGUCUGAGGAGGACGGCCAGCCACACUGGGACUGAGACACGGCCCAGACUCCUACGGGAGGCAGCAGGUGGGAAGUAUUGGACAAGUGGGGGAAACCCGUGAUCCAGCGACGCCGCGUGUGUGAAGAAGG
rnacentral:rRNA from 1 species